CUUAAACCAAAAAAAAAAAAAAUGGAGUAGAAAAAGGUUUUCAACUUUUUCAAAAUAUUGCCCAGGGGGAAACUCUUAAACCAAAAAAAAAAUUGGAGUAGAAAAAGGUUUUCAACUUUUUCAAAAUAUUGCCUGGGUGGAAAGGAUUACUUCAAGAUGCGCACUCACAGCUUGAGAUAUUGCCUCACCUCACCUUGUGCUUCCAACGUUUUCAAAAUAUUGCCUGGGUGGAAAGAGAGAAGUCUAGAACAAGGGAAAGUAAAAACACGAGGGUAAGAGUCAUUUCCCUCAUUAGAUCAAGGCAGAUCAGCGUUUCUACAACCUCCACCUCUAACUUUUUUCAGCCCUCAAGAAAGGGGAUGAAAGGAAGAACUAUAGAGGCUCCACUAAAGGAAG
rnacentral:lncRNA from 1 species